rnacentral:rRNA from 2 species
AGCGCNCUAUCAUGCAGUCGAACGCGUCUCCGUUAAUGAUUUUAGGUGCUUGCACUUGAAAGAUUUAACAUUGAGACGAGUGGCGAACUGGUGAGUAACACGUGGGUAACCUGCCCUUGAAGUAGGGGAUAACACUUGGAAACAGGUGCUAAUACCGUAUAACAACCAAAACCACCUGGUUUUGGUUUAAAAGACGGCUUCGGCUGUCACUUUAGGAUGGACCCGCGGCGUAUUAGCUUGUUGGUAAGGUAACGGCCUACCAAGGCGAUGAUACGUAGCCGACCUGAGAGGGUAAUCGGCCACAUUGGGACUGAGACACGGCCCAAACUCCUACGGGAGGGCAGCAGUAA